CCUACGGGAGGCAGCAGUGGGGGAUAUUGCACAAUGGGGGAAACCCUGAUGCAGCGACGCCGCGUGAGUGAAGAAGUAUUUCGGUAUGUAAAGCUCUAUCAGCAGGGAAGAAAAUGACAGUACCUGACCAAGAAGCCCCGGCUAACUACGUGCCAGCAGCCGCGGUAAUACGUAGGGGGCAAGCGUUAUCCGGAUUUACUGGGUGUAAAGGGAGCGUAGACGGUUGUGUAAGUCUGGAGUGAAAGCCCGGGGCCCAACCCCGGGACUGCUUUGGAAACUGUGGUGCUGGAGUGCAGGAGGGGCAGGCGGAAUUCCUGGUGUAGCGGUGAAAUGCGUAGAUAUCAGGAGGAACACCGGCGGCGAAGGCGGCCUGCUGGACUGAAACUGACGUUGAGGCUCGAAAGCGUGGGGAGCAAACAGGAUUAGAUACCCCAGUAGUC
rnacentral:rRNA from 1 species